GAGAGUUAAAUAGUACGUGAAAUUGUUGAAAGGGAAACGAUUGAAGUCAGUCAUGCUAGUGAAAAAUCAGUUUGACGGGUUUUGAGUUCGGGAGUAGAGGCAGGGUCAAACCGUUUCUCUUUUGAACUUGGAAUUUGUUAGAUGUACUUUUUCUUUGGCAGGUCAGCGUCGAUUUCGGAGGUUGUAAAAUACUUGGGGGAAAGUAGCUCUGCUUCGGGAGAGUAUUAUAGACCCUGGGGGAUGCAGCCUGCGGGAUCGAGGAUUGCAGCAAAUGCCUUUGGCUUGUCGCCUGAUCUCUGGAUGUUACCUCGCUUUUGACAACAUUCUUGCCACUUGUGGGUACUAAUGCCCAUUAGGUUAGAGCGAUCAAAAAUUUUGCUAAGGAUGCUGACGUAAUGGCUUUAAACGA
rnacentral:rRNA from 1 species